UAACUGUCUCUUUUUCUUUAUUUAAAAUUUACUUAAAGGGUGAAAAUUCUCUUAGAUUAAUAAAAUAGACGAGAAGACCCUUAGAAUUAUUAAUAAAUAGUUUAACUCUUAACUAUACUUUUUUGUUGGGGCAACAUAGGUUACAGUACAUUCUAAUAAAUUACCUAAAUAAAAUUAAAAUUAGGACAAGGUAUACUAAGUUUGAACUAAUUACCUAAGGGAUAACAGCAUAAUUUAUUUUUAAGUUUGUGACCUCGAUGUUGGACUA
rnacentral:rRNA from 1 species